rnacentral:lncRNA from 1 species
UCGGCAUUCCGCCCCAGGUCCUCCCCACCCAGCUGGGGCAGGGCGUAGCCUGAAGGGCAGGAGCUCAGCCAUCACCAGGAGGAGCAGAGCUGAUGAUCCAGCCUCACACCGAGCCUGGGGAACAAAGUGUUUGAGCUGGGGAAGAAAAUGUUUGAGCCGGGGAACAAAGUGUUUGAGCUGGCUGCUGCCUGAGAAAGAAGAGCAUUAACCCUGGUUUCCCUCCAACCUCCAGCACUUGCACUUCAGCCAUCAUUGAUCCUCCAUCCCAGGGAAAUUCCGUGCAGUGCAAUUUGGGGAGGCUGUUGGGGGAAAUGGGGAGCAGAGCAUCCCAGGAGCUGCGGCAUGGACGAGGCUUCUCCCUCCACCAGGAUCCUGAGCUGUGUCCCUGUGCUGAUCCCUGGCUUUGAGUCUGGCUGCCUUUGCUGGGUGUCCUGCGGACAGGAGGGACACAGAAGCCAGCGAUGGCUUUGCCAUGAAAAUGUUGCAGGCUUGGAGGCUGGGCUGAUGUGGGGAAGGCUCCAGAGACUUCUAUACUGCAAACUCCUGGCUAGAAGGCUGUGGAUGAAAUUCUGCCACACCUGGGACUUUUUCAGACAUCAGCCCGUGCUGCAGCAGCCCCCCGGACUCAGUUCAGUGCCCUGUGAGGAGGGACGAGGCUUUGGCAGCGCUGCUGGGAUCGGACCCAUCCUCCGUGUCUGCCCAGUGCCACCUACAGCAGCCAGAGCAGAAGCUGCAGCGCCGGCAAAGCGAUGGAAACAAUUCCAGCACCUCCAGCAAAAGGUGUGUUCACAUUGAUGGUAAAAGGUUUUAAAAUCAUAGAAAAUUUGGGGAGCUAGAGAGAAAGUUAGGCGUAGUAUGCCCUGGGAAAUUGUUAGGCCUUGUGUUUGCUAGGUUAUGUGAAACUGCGCCUGUGUAGUCAGUAUAUGAUAGAUAAUUGUUAGAUGUGAUUAGAUAUAAUUAUUGUUUAAAGAAUAAUGAGAAACUCUAACACACUUUAACAAACUACUUAAGAAAACUAAUACAGCAUAACUUUCUAACAUAACACAUAUAAUAUUCAUUUUAAUAUUUGCAAAAAAGCCAACAAUAAAAUAUGCACUUUUCACA